UCAUGGAAAUUGAGGCGAAUAAGCGAAGCAGCCAUUCAUAGGUCGUUCAUCACAGCUUCCCCAACCUUUGAAUAAAUGAUACGUUCAACAAAAUUAAUCUGAAGUAAUCCUAUCCACUUUUAUAAAAUCACACUUCACAUAAUCAUCCCCUUUUCUCGCAUCAGUCCGCUGAUGCGGUGUAGGAUAACGUUUACAGUGGUGUAGGUUAAGAGUAUUAUAUUCUUAUUUGGGCAUGUGUCUGUCUGAACUCUGAAGUGCUGCUGUAUACAAUUGUCAUCUUCCUCUGCUCCACCAUUAUUACUUUUCCUUCUUUCUUCUCCUUUCUCUCUGCAGAAGAAAUUUCUAGGGAUUUCAAAAAACAAAAAAAAAGGGAAAAACAAAGCAACCCCAACUCUUAGAUUUCUGCUCAAUCUACGAUGAUGCUUGGUAUACAGUAGAUAGACUGGUUUUGAGCAAGAAAAACACCCUUCGUACUGUGAAAUUCUUUGGGUUUGAUAAAGGAGAUGAUGAGAAGUUCAAUGUCAAGGAUUUCAAAACAGUGAAUGAGUUGGACCACUACCAUCAUCAUCAGCAACACCAUCACCACCAAUUUCCCAAUUCAUACACCGAUUCCGAUUUCAAUUCAUACUCACCACCACCCUCCUCCUUCUCAUUGAAAUUGUCUUCAAUCUUCAAACCAUUUCUCUUUCGAUUAAAGCACCACCACUACCAAUUUCAUCCUCUGCCUUCUUCAGCACUAUCAAAAAAUCACCAUUGACAGUUUAACACCGAGGAAACAAGAUUUUCGCUUUACAUCUCUGAAAGUUAAGAGACAAUUAGGUGGUUACUGUUGUAAUAUGCAAGUACUUAACAAGGCGGUUUGGGUAGUGUUGGUGGGUUAUAAGCAAUGGGGGGUGCAAGUAGCUUUAUUGGUGGUGGGAGUCAUGAAAUGCUAAUUUCUGGACAGAAAAGAGGGUUUCCUUUCUCUGGUAGAGGAGGGUUUGCUCCAAGUAAAUUAUUUCAUUGAUUUUUAUGCUAAUUGAAUUAUCCACAGGUGUAACUGCUUGAAAUUUUUUAACGUUUCCUCAUCAGUUUGACCUGAUUGACCUAAUUAAGUUAGGUAAUAUGAAGGUCAUGAUAUCGCUUACACUGACUACUAUAACAGGGUUUAUGUUGAGUAUUCUUUCUUUGAGUCGUUGCUUAUUUCUCUUCAGAUAACACUGAUGGUGCUACAUUCAUAUCUUUCCAUUGGAUCUGUUCCUAGGAAUGUGACUGAAAAAGAAUUUAGUCGUUGCUUAUUUCUCUUCAGAUAACACUGAUGGUGCUACGUUCGUAUCUUUCCAGUGGAUCUGUUCCUAGGAACGUGACUGAAGAAGAAUCAUUGUACCAAUGUUGGUCUUAAUGUUGCUGUCACAUAUAUGGGUAUAAGAGUAUAACAGACAUUAGACAACCCCCACAAGCAUCACCACCUCCUCCACCAGCACCAGCACUUCCGCUGCAAGCACCAGACAACCGCCAUCACAAAAAUGCCCAGGGCAUUUGGUCUAGUGGUAUGAUUCUCGCUUAGGGUGCGAGAGUUCAAUUCUCGGAAUGCCCCCAUCGCUUGCCCUUAUAGCUCAGUGGUAGAGCGUCAGUCUUGUAAACUGAAGGUCCGCAGUUCAAUCCUGCAUGAGGGCAUUGCUCUUUUUUCUUUUACUACUGUUUAAGAUCCCAUCAAAAUGAUCUUUAAAUGCUGGAGUUUGAGGGAAAUGUGAGAUUACACUUAACUGGUUAAAAUAUUUGAAUGAUUGUAGCAUGGACCAAAACAAACACAGUCGAAGAAGCAUGUGGCACUACAAGUCUGGCCUGCUCUGAAAGACAGUAAUUUUGCUUGUUUUUAAUGUUUGAGAGUUCUUUCUUCCUUCUAUAGAUAGUUGGUUGGAAAACCUUGUACUUAGCAAACAUAUCACGUCUCACUUUUUAGUUCGAAUGAAUGGACUUUGUGAUGCAUUUCAGUUUCAUUAAUUGUCUGGAGAAGUUUGUUUAAAACAGUUAGCGAUCUGAAUGGAGAUAUUGUUACUCAAAAUUGGGGACGAAGCUAUGACAGUGGGUUGCGACAAAAGAAUUCAUCGUAAAAAAGAAAUCAGACCUCUCUAUCUUAUAUGCUUGAUGUGGCUAAAGCGGUUUUGAGACAUGAUCAGGAACCAUGCAAGUUACUUUUCAGUGAGGUCCAGAGCUGUUAGAGUUGCACUGUUGUUGCUUUCAGCGUUGGAGCAAAGCUGCUUCAAUGAUGCUACAAAUUGUAGGUCGAGGGCUGGUCCAUCAGAGCUACUGCUGCUACGACCCUGAAGAGAAGAGCUGAAUGACGAGCACCUAGCUUGACCGAUGGUGUGUGCACCUGCAAACGUGUAGUCAAGGCCAACAUUCUGGAAUUUGGUGAUGAGGGUGUUCAGAUCUGAAUUUGGAGCUGGAAUGUUGUUAUUUGCAUCUGUUUUGCUAGCACUCAAGCUGUCCUUUCUACCCAUCAGAACAUCCCAUCCCG